rnacentral:rRNA from 1 species
AGCAGCCGCGGUAAUUCCAGCUCCAAUAGCGUAUAUUAAAGUUGUUGCAGUUAAAAAGCUCGUAGUUGAAUUUCGGGGUCAGUAGGUCGGUCGUGCCACUGGUAUGAACUGGUUUUACUGAUUCCUCCCUCUUGAAGAACUGUAAUGCCAUUAAUUUGGUGUUGCAGGGAAUCAGGACUGUUACUUUGAAAAAAUUAGAGUGUUUAAAGCAGGCUUUAGCUUGAAUACAUUAGCAUGGAAUAAUGAAAUAGGACGUUUGAUCCUAUUUUGUUGGUUUCUAGGAUUGACGUAAUGAUUAAUAGGGAUAGUUGGGGCAUUAGUAUUCAAUUGUCAGAGAUGAAAUUCUUGGAUUUAUUGAAGACUAACUACUGACGAAAGCAUUUGCCAAGGAUUGUUUUCAAUUAAUCAAGAACGAAAGUUAGGGAUCGAAGACGAUCAAGAUACCGUCGUAGUCUUAACCAUAAACUAUGACGACGUAGGAUUGGAUGGAUUGUUAAUUUUAGUAAAUUGUAACUUUA